AGAAAAAAAUUACAGAAAUAAUGGUCAGGUGAUUACCCUGUAUACAGUAGAUACAUACUAAAUGCACACAUUUUGUUUAUGUAUCACGUUUUCGCAUCUCAUUGUGAAAACCUACAUGAAAUCAUAUCUUACGAUCAAACAAUAACAUAUUACUGCUGUUGAUGUCAGAAUAAGAACAACCUCCAUAGGAGAAGGCAGUGGAAUAUGGACUUUAUAUCGUAUUUCAUUCAUGCAGUAUUCUUUUUUUUCUGGAAAAAUAUGUGACAUUUUACAAUUGCAAUGAUCAACAGUUCUAACUUUUGUGGCUCAGCUGCAUGUGCUUUCUGAGAGAGAGAAAGAGAGAGAGAGAGUGUGAGAAAGAGAGCGAGACAGAGAGGAGGUGGAGGGGUAGAGAGGGAGGGAAGGAGAGCCACGGAUUGGACGGAGAGAAGGAGAAAAAGAGGUCUCAGUUGCAUUUACUGCAGACUGACAUUAGGCUUAUCGUCAGAUAAUACACACAAGCUACUUCUCAUGUAUAGAAGGAGUAGUUUUCCCACCAGGAUUCACGAUUCCUUAUUCAAGCUAUUCAGUUCUUUGGAUUUAAUGUGUGACAUAUCUCUCCCUGCACGGCUAGAGUUGCUGCUACUCAGGUGAAGACGAUUACUACUGCAGGUUAAAGAGCUGACCCUCAGCAUCCAAAGACUGUGAGGCAACCCCACUUUCCUAUGGAGCCACGCUCACAAUCCUACAGUUGCUGCCCUACCCUCAAUGAGAGCAAAAAAACCAGGUGACCUGUUUUUUCUUUCAACGGUGACUGGUAAUGCACAAAUGAGCAUCCACUCUGCCAACUCGACUGACGUGGCCGUGCCAAGCGACCAUGACUCCUUCUCGUCCAUCAUCGCCUUGAUGCUGGUGCUGACUCUAGCCUGCUCCAUUAUAGUCGCAUCACUAGUUACUUUCUACUGCCGUAAAUCACAGCUCCAAGACAGGAAACUCAAGAAGGCGCAAGAAGAGUACGAGAAGGAUCAGGGCAAUAACGCCAUGGAGCAAUGUGGUGGAACGAUGGCAUUGAUCCAGAGUCCGUGAGGAACAUCACAGCCUAUGAGAAAAUGAUAGUCAGAAGGAAAAAAGAAACUUCUCUUUCAGGAUCUCAGAGUAAGUGCCUCUAAGGAUCCCCACACUACUCUACAACAAAAAAUGUGUUUCCUUGGACACAUGUAUAUAUAAAAAAGAUCCAGCACACUGAAGCAUUGUUUAAGUUAUAUAUGUGCUUUGUCACUUUGUGACAUUGUGUAAAUAUAUCAUGUAAAACUGACAAAUUACUUCAACGGUGAGCCACGCAGAGGUCUGAUGUAAGGAUGGAUGAUGUGAAAUGUAACAGGCAUUCCAUAUUGAGAGAGUCUCCCUUGAAUAACAGAGGAUCUUCAUUCUAAAAACUAUACAAUCAGCAAGUCGAAAAUUCAGUGUUCAAAUUAACAUUACCGGUAUUUAACUGUUGUAUUUGGCUUGCUAAAAAAAGUGAGUGAAAAUUAAAAUGUGAUGAAAACACAUCUGAAAUUUAAAAAACAAAAAAAUUGUCAUUUGUAAUGAGUACAAGAGUGAAACGAGUCUGGUGGGGUUUUCCAGGUAAACAAAACUGGUGUAGUUACAUGUAUAGAACAGCAUAGAAAACCAUCAUCUUAACCAAAUAAGAUGGUUGUUUCAGCUUAAAUGCAAGUGUGGUAUCAGUCCUAGUUAAUAUACUGUAUAGCUCUCAUUGACAAACUACACAUAUAAUAAGGCUCACCAACGCGACAUGAAAACUGCCAUAACGCACAAGAUCCUUAAGUAUCCAUGGGAGUUCUGCCACAACUAAAUGAUUACUCCAUUGAUAGACUUCCAUUUUGGCUUUUUCCUUUGACCAGUUAACUAUAAAUUAGCCUCAGUUGUGCAGUAAAGCCGCUCUACUUCCGUGUCCAGUACCAGUUACAAUUAUAGCUAACACUCAUGGUAUUGCUGCAGGGGACGAUAUGGUAUCACUUGUGUAAAAGGCAGACAUGCUACUCGUCACAGUACAAACAACAAACAUGCUUUUAUUUGCUAUUUGCACAAAUACAGGUACAUUAGAAAGCUUCUCUUCGCUGACCCCAUCUUGUUCUCCAUAGUUGGGGGGGGGGUCACAG